ACGUCUACUACUAGCCUACGUGCAAAGACAACAGCUGGCAGCAGUGUGACCGGGAAAAUGCGAUGAGCUGUCAUGUGACACACGCAAACACAAGAAAGCGGAAACGCAUGAUGGAGCGAGAGCCACAGUGGGGUCCUUGGUCCAUUUCCCGUGAGGUGUGUUUUCCUGAAGAGGCUGAAACAUGCUGGCCUUGACACCUCAGUCCUUGCUUCCAUUAA